rnacentral:rRNA from 1 species
GCAUAACGCGAAGAACCUUACCCACCUUUGACAUGGUCGGAAUCCUGCAGAGACGCAGGAGUGCUCGCAAGAGAGCCGACACACAGGUGCUGCAUGGCUGUCGUCAGCUCGUGUCGUGAGAUGUUGGGUUAAGUCCCGCAAUGAGCGCAACCCUUGCCAUCAGUUGCUACGAAAGGGCACUCUGAUGGGACUGCCGGUGACAAACCGGAGGAAGGUGGGGAUGACGUCAAGUCCUCAUGGCCCUUAUAGGUGGGGCUACACACGUCAUACAAUGGCUGGUACAAAGGGUUGCCAACCCGCGAGGGGGAGCCAAUCCCACAAAGCCAGUCGUAGUCCGGAUUGCAGGCUGCAACUCGCCUGCAUGAAGUCGGAAUCGCUAGUAAUCGCGGAUCAGCAUGUCGCGGUGAAUACGUUCCCGGGUCUUGUACACACCG